GCACUGCUGAUGAGACCCAACCGGGUCGAAACAGCUGUCCAGUGC
rfam:Echinostoma caproni strain Egypt genome assembly, scaffold: ECPE_scaffold0001000